GGGUUUGGGGACAGAAGCGCGGUCGUUCUGAGAUUAUACUGUCAAAACUUGAUCUAGAUAAUACUAGCGAAAGGACAUGCGUGGCACUGAUUG
rnacentral:ncRNA from 1 species